rnacentral:rRNA from 1 species
GACGAACGCUGGCGGCGUGCUUAACACAUGCAAGUCGAACGGAAAGGCCCUGCGUUUGUGGGGUGCUCGAGUGGCGAACGGGUGAGUAACACGUGAGUAACCUGCCCUUGACUUUGGGAUAACUUCAGGAAACUGGGGCUAAUACCGGAUAGGAGCUCCUGCUGCAUGGUGGGGGUUGGAAAGUUUCGGCGGUUGGGGAUGGACUCGCGGCUUAUCAGCUUGUUGGUGGGGUAGUGGCUUACCAAGGCUUUGACGGGUAGCCGGCCUGAGAGGGUGACCGGCGACAUUGGGACUGAGAUACGGCCCAGACUCCUACGGGAGGCAGCAGUGGGGAAUAUUGCACAAUGGGCGGAAGCCUGAUGCAGCAACGCCGCGUGCGGGAUGACGGCCUUCGGGUUGUAAACCGCUUUCGCCUGUGACGAAGCGUGAGUGACGGUAAUGGGUAAAGAAGCACCGGCUAACUACGUG